rnacentral:misc_RNA from 1 species
GUCAGAGUAUGUGCAAUUUGUAAUGUGGUUUGCAAUAGUGAGAAUGUAUACAAUUAUCAUCUCACUGGACGCAAGCAUGCUGCGAUGUUGAAGAGACAUGGACUAAGGAUGGUUGCUGCCUCCUAAAUAUAAAAUAUUUGGAAUAGAAGAUUUGGCAAGUCUAGUACUUAUGUGAUUUUCAGUCUUUACAAUGCUCAUAUUCUCAUUUGAUAUGUUACCUGUUUUGCAUUGAUGCUGUUUUGGAGAACUAUCAUGCAGAAAUGUUAGAUAUGUUCUUGUCGACUCUGUAGGACAAAUUCAUUAAAGUAAAAAGACUUCUGGCCUUCAGAGUCGACAAGAACAUAUCUAACAUUU